ACGGGGGGAGGAAAGUAGGGGAUCGUAAGACCUCGCGUUAUUGGAGCGGCCGAUGCCGGAUUAGCUAGUUGGUGGGGUAAAGGCCCACCAAGGCGACGAUCCGUAGCUGGUCUGAGAGGACGACCAGCCACACUGGGACUGAGACACGGCCCAGACUCCUACGGGAGGCAGCAGUGGGGAAUUUUGGACAAUGGGCGAAAGCCUGAUCCAGCCAUGCCGCGUGAGUGAAGAAGGCCUUCGGGUUGUAAAGCUCUUUCGCAAGGAAAGAAAACUUACCUACUAAUACUAGGUGAGGAUGACGGUACCUUGAUAAGAAGCACCGGCUAACUACGUGCCAGCAGCCGCGGUAAUACGUAGGGUGCGAGCGUUAAUCGGGAUUACUGGGCGUAAAGCGUGCGCAGGCGGUUUCGUAAGUCAGAUGUGAAAUCCCCGGGCUCAACCUGGGAACUGCGUUUGAAACUACAAAGCUAG
rnacentral:rRNA from 1 species